GGAAACCGAUAUUCGCCCUGGUACAGGAUUUGAGAAUCUGUAACCCGUUCCGAUACCGAUUGAUAUGGAUCCGGUACCAAUUGUUAGGAUUCCGCAACGGAAGCGUCGAAUCGGGUUUUUACCAUAAACCCGUAUCCUCAACAAAAGUUGAUAUAAUCACAAAAGAGAGAAAAACCAAAAUAGAAAAUAUGCGGGUAAAAUAAGAUUCAUUAAAUAAGAGAAGAUUACACUUGACCCCUUCUGCAACUGAGUAGCUACAACCAAGCCCUCUUUCUGAAUCUUUUCUACCUUUCUCUCGUCUUCUAUAAACCCACAUAAAAGACAACCCUCUCUAUUUCUCUCUCAAUGUACUCGUGCACUACUUGCAUGCAACCAUUAGUUUCUCUCUCCUGGUACGGUUUCACCAAAGAAGACAUUCUCUCUCACCGUACUCUCUCCUCCAAAAGCAUACCAAAGAAUGCAUUUAUAAUGCAUUCUCUAAGACGUAGGCGAAUCCUAAUCUAAUUAGGAUUCCUACUCCAAUUAACAUUUAAAUCUAUAUAUCAUUUAUCUUCAAUAGAUUUAAAUAUUUAUCCUAAUCUAAUUAGAUUUAUACUCUAAUUAAUAUUUAAAUCUUAAUUUAUCUUCAACAAAUUUAAAUAUUAAUUCUUAUCGAACUAGAAUUAAUCUACAAAUCUAAUCAAAUCCUAACCGUCAUGUCUAGAAUAACAAAUAACAAAACAUACUAAUAACACGAACAGAGAAACAAGUUGAGGAAGAGGCAUCAAACAUGACAAAAAGAAUAGGUAAAGGAAAAAAAAAAACUCUUCAAUAAAUUUCCCAUCAGAACAACGCUCAAAGAUGGUAACUAAAAUAAGGAGUCCAGCUACUAUGCUAUUAAUAGCACGAAGCACUUGGUGCUACCAAGUUUUUCGGCGUUAGAUCUACCCUUUUGAUUAUUUUCACCCGUUAGAUCAUACUAUUCAACCAACCACCCACUCAACCUUAGGGGGCCCACAUCAUCCUAACCGCACAUCUUUUAAUCCAAUGGCCAAAAACUUGGUAGCACCAAUGACUUGGUGCUAUUAAUAGUAUAUUAGCCUAGUUCCUAAAAUAAUUAUCUUAUUCAGAUACCA
rnacentral:lncRNA from 1 species